CCCUUAGAUGUCCUGGGCCGCACGCGCGUUACACUGAUGCAUUCAACGAGCUUAUAACCUUGGCCGAGAGGCCUGGGCAAUCUUGUUAACGUGCAUCGUGAUAGGGAUAGAUUAUUGAAAUUAUUAAUCUUGAACGAGGAAUUCCUAGUAAACGCAGAUCAUCAAUCUGCAUUGAUUACGUCCCUGCCCUUUGUACACACCGCCCGUCGCACCUACCGAUUGGAUGGUCCGGUGAAGCCUCGGGAUUGUGGUUCUCGCCGCUUUAUUGUAGCGUGACCGCGAGAACUUGUCUAAACCUUAUCAUCUAGAGGAAGGUGAAGUCGUAACA
rnacentral:rRNA from 1 species